GUCAUCGUCCACCACAAGUUCCAGCAACCCUCCCCGAAUCUUGUUAUCACCAGAUUCCUCCGUUAACAAUUGGCGCUAGAAGGAGGGGCUUUUUGACAUCUAUUGGAGGAAGGAUGUCACAUGAGACGAAGAACGACGUUGUCAAUCUAUGGAAGGGAAGGAAGACCUCGGAGACUCCGGCUACCAAUCAGCUACCGUCGCCUCUCUUGACGUCCGGAACCAGCUAUCAGGAACAUCUUGAAGGAAAGGAUAUUCUGAGGACAUGGAACGCUGGACAUCAGAAUUAUUAUCAGGAAAGUUCAUAUUCUCCUUCUCUAAAUUUGUGGUUAUAUUUUCUGUUUUGAUAUUUGCGUAACAGUCCUGGAAUCGAUGAGAUCACUCCCAAGACUCGGGGGUAGCAAUGGUACGUUCCCUCCGACCACACUAUCAUGUAAGCAUGCUAUUAACAACAAAUUUAGAACCUUUUGUAUAUCUUUUUUCGAAUCUAUAUAUUUGUGUCUUGUUUGGAGCGUGAAGACCAGGGACAACCUCCCUGCUGCUUUGGAAUUCGUCUUCAUGUGUAAUCGAGGCACAUGUUUGACACCCUCGGGAUGCCUGGACAACCAUCUUCAUAAGAUGGUUCGAAAGAAUUCCUAUGCCCUGGUGGCCCGUACUUCCGGUAAACCAUCAGGAAGACCCUCAGGGGUGCAGCUUUGGAAAACCCUCAGGGGUUGGAGUUUUUAUUCG
rnacentral:lncRNA from 1 species